rnacentral:rRNA from 1 species
ACUCCUACGGGAGGCAGCAGUGGGAAUAUUGGACAAUGGGGCAACCGUGAUCCAGCCAUGCCGCGUGCGUGAAGAAGGCCUUAGGGUUGUAAAGCGCUUUCACUGGUGAAGAUGAUGACGGUAGCCAGAGAAGAAGCCCCGGCUAACUCGUGCCAGCAGCCGCGGUAAUACGGAGGGGCAAGCGUUGUUCGGAAUUAGCUGGGCGUAAAGGGC